AUUAACUAAACAGCGGCGCAGUAUCCUAGUCAGUUCAGUCGUUUACCAGGAAGGGCCUAAAAAUCCUUUGAAGGGCAUAUCGAUGAAGUCCCUGGUGUUUGCUUCUUACGCCCAGUUUGGGGUGGAUGCUGGGGGUUAAGAUUUGCGGGCGACUUGCAAUGGCAUGCAAACUCGACCCGCUUAUCGUGGAGACCUGUUCUUGUGAUGAGCCAAGAUUUUCCCGGAACGGGCUUGUGACUCGUUACGAAACAGGGUGAAACCUGCAAUGUGGUGUGCAAGGGACAUGCGUCCCCUAUUGCUAUGUGCAGAGUAGCCUGCCUUGAGUGGGUAUGGCGGAUGUGGGAACUACGCAUCGGAUCCCCGGCCAGGGACCCGAUGCGAUCGCCUGCUGAAACCAUAACUGCAAAAGAGGCUAAGAAACAGACUGUCUGCCGUGGAAAACACCUAGGCUGUCGUUUUCGUGGGCACCUGAAGGAUUGCAGUGCGGACUAAGUGGCAGUCGGGUCGCAAUGGCGGCAACGCCUUGCCGCGGAGCAUAAAGGGAAACCGCCAAGCGGAAACGCGCGGUGCUCCGUGGGGAAAUCCUACCCGUACCUAAGCCGUAAGAUUUACUUCAGGUGCUGCCGUCUGUUUAGUU
rnacentral:sRNA from 1 species